AGGCAAAAUCAAGAAGAUUAUAGUAGUGUUAGACUUUCUUUCAGUUCAAUGCAUUUUUAAACUAUGAGGUGGCAUAGCAUUGGCGCUCUGAUGUGUUAUACUGGGUUUGCACUUGAUGCAGGGUGAUAGAUCUCUGGGUCAGAAGCUAGCUUCUCGUCUCAAUGUAAGGCCAAGAAUUUGAAGAUGAUGCCAGCGUAAUAUGCCAACUCAGAGUGAGGCUAGUGGUACAGAAGCCCAAAAUCAGUGUCAAAGUUGGAUUGCUUUAACUUGCAUGUAAUGUUUCUCUUAUGACUAGAUGUAUCAUCUAAUAAAUUCGUGUUGUAUGCUGUCCAUUCAGACUUGUUUUAGUGUAUGUAAGAUGGUACGGCAUGUAGUUUGCUGGAUUCAUAUCU
rnacentral:misc_RNA from 1 species